UUCCUCCUCCUCUCCUUUCCCCUAUUCAGACCAGCUAUGUUCCAAAAUGGCUACCCGAGGCGGAAAACAGAAGUUCUAACUCCCUGUUUUGUGUUAUUUACUAGAACAGAAAAUUAUGAAGCGCUUGUUACAUGAAAGAAGUAUUUUUCAGUUACUAAUAUUUCAUAUUUAUUCUUUUCUAGGAAAGCCUUCAAUGUAAUGCACCACAGGACAGGAAGAUAGUAAAAUCAGUUACCUCGCCCACAUGGUACUAUAAGAACACUGCAAUAUUUUUAUUGGCAACAAGCAGGAUUUUUGCCAACUCUUAACAGAAGAAAAACAAAGCUUCUUAAUAACUGCUUCUGACAACUGUGUGGCUUGCAUCUGUUCCUAUACUACGUUUUUCAUCCAGGGCAAUAGUUUUCUAUUCUGGGGGUGGAAAAGGACCUCAAACAUCAGAAGAUGAGCAGAGGCCACAGUGCUGUCUCUCUACAUGCAGCCUUUUUACAGGUACAAUUUCAUUUUGGUUUAUCCCACAGCAAGCCUAAACAUUCCUUAAUAACUCUCUGGCUUUCUUCUGUUAGUUUAAAGGGGGAACCUACUUAUUGAGAAAGUUGCUGUCAUUUUUCCUACACGUUAAGAGAAUCUUUCUUUAGGGCUUGCCCGGUCCCCUGUGACUUGAAAAGUAGGACUCCCUGUUCUGGGUCACAAAUUCUAGUCAUUGACAUGUUAGUGUAACAUGAAGUCACAGACAGGCAGAUAAUCUCAAUCCCUCCUUUUUCAAGUGAGAAGAUCAUCAUUUUCUCUAAUUUACCAAGGGGAAAUGUGGCUGUUUUCUAUAAAUACAACGUGACAAUAUCAAGUCAGGAAAAAUGACUUGUAAACUUUUCCAAAUCAAUUUCUAAAUUUGGAACCCAAGAAAAGUAGUGUUUGUUUUGAAGUUUCUCAAAAUAAACUGGUUUCCUGGUAAAAGUUUACUGGUAACCUUAGUUACCAGUAGUUUUUAAUUUCAGAUUACCAUAUUAAGUGUUCUGAGUGACCUCUACUGGUUGACUAGAUAAAAUUAGCCCUGCACAUCUUUUCCAAGUCUUGCAAAUAGGAACAACAAUCAACUCUGCUGCUGAAAAUAGCACAAAUUUCUUGGUUAAUUAACAGAAGACAAUUUUUUUGCCUAACAAUCUUGACAUGUUAUCUACAAUGUACAGUUUAAAAAAAAAAAAAGACAAUUACUUGCGUAUUGAUCAUUUUCCUAUUUUACUAUGGUUUAUCUCUCUUUACAUAUUGUUACUACCUGAAGCUGCAACUGGACUAAGAGAACUUCAAAUCUGGUGAGUUUUGCUACUCACCAGGCAUACCCACAUUUCUGUCACAAACACUGCAGCACAGAAUUAAAACCUACCAUUAACCUCUUGGCACUGGCUAAUUCACAAGAGGAUGCACAGAUGAGGGAAUUGCUAACUAACAUAUUGGCAUUCCAUAUUAAAGAGGUAAAGAUGGGUCAG